UCCGGUUUGUCACCGGCAGUCUCAUUAGAGUGCCCUUGCGUAGCAACUAAUGAUAAGGGUUGCGCUCGUUGCGGGACUUAACCCAACAUCUCACGACACGAGCUGACGACAGCCAUGCAGCACCUGUGUUCAGGUUCUCCUUCGAGCACGAAGCCAUCUCUGGCAACUUCCUGACAUGUCAAGGGUAGGUGGGGAUGACGUAGACCU
rnacentral:misc_RNA from 1 species